GACGAACGCUGGCGGCGCGCUUAACACAUGCAAGUCGAACGAUGAAGCCGGAGCUUGCUCUGGUGAAUUAGUGGCGAACGGGUGAGUAACACGUGAGUAACCUGCCCUUGACUCUGGGAUAACUGCUAGAAAUGGUAGCUAAUACCGGAUACGACCCUCGGAGGCAUCUCCAGGGGGUGGAAAGAAUUUCGGUCAAGGAUGGACUCGCGGCCUAUCAGCUAGUUGGUGAGGUAACGGCUCACCAAGGCGACGACGGGUAGCCGGCCUGAGAGGGUGACCGGCCACACUGGGACUGAGACACGGCCCAGACUCCUACGGGAAGCAGCAGUGGGGAAUAUUGCACAAUGGGCGCAAGCCUGAUGCAGCAACGCCGCGUGAGGGAUGACGGCCUUCGGGUUGUAAACCUCUUUUAGUAGGGAUGAAGCGAAAGUGACGGUACCUGCAGAAAAAGCACCGGCUAACUACGUGCCAGCAGCCGCCGUAA
rnacentral:rRNA from 1 species